rnacentral:rRNA from 1 species
CUGGCGUCAGGAUGAACGCUAGCGGCAGGCUUAACACAUGCAAGUCGAGGGGCAGCGGGAUGUAGCAAUACAUUGCCGGCGACCGGCGGAUGGGUGCGUAACGCGUAUGCAACCUACCUUAUACAGGGGAAUAACCUUUCGAAAGGGAGACUAACACCCCAUGGUAUUGAUUUAAGGCAUCUUAGAUUAAUUAAAUAUUUAUAGGUAUAAGAUGGGCAUGCGUAUGAUUAGCUAGUUGGUAAGGUAACGGCUUACCAAGGCGACGAUCAUUAGGGGUUCUGAGAGGAAGGUCCCCCACACUGGUACUGAGACACGGACCAGACUCCUACGGGAGGCAGCAGUGAGGAAUAUUGGUCAAUGGGCGCAAGCCUGAACCAGCCAUGCCGCGUGCCAGGAAGACGGCCUUAUGGGUUGUAAACUGCUUUUACAUAAGACUAACCGUAUAUUUGCGAAUAUACCUGAAUGUAUUAUGAGAAUAAGGAUCGGCUAACUCCGUGCCAGCCGCUGC